rnacentral:rRNA from 1 species
CUACGGGGGGCUGCAGUCGAGAAUCUUCCGCAAUGGGCGAAAGCCUGACGGAGCAAUGCCGCGUGUAGGAUGAAGGCCUUUGGGUUGUAAACUACUGUCACCGGGGAUGAAUAUUGACAGUACCCGGAGAGGAAGCCACGGCUAACUACGUGCCAGCAGCCGCGGUAAUACGUAGGUGGCGAGCGUUGUUCGGAUUUAUUGGGCGUAAAGGGUUCGUAGGGGGUUAUUUAAGUCUGAUGUGAAAUCCCGCGGCUUAACCGCGGAACUGCAUUGGAAACUGAGUAACUAGAGGAUCGGAGAGGAGAGUGGAAUUCCGGGAGUAGCGGUGGAAUGCGUAGAUAUCCGGAAGAACACCGACAGCGAAGGCAGCUCUCUGGACGAUUCCUGACCCUGAGGGACGAAAGCGUGGGUAGCAAACAGGAUUAGAUACCCCUGUAGUC